rnacentral:rRNA from 1 species
UAGGGAAUCUUCCGCAAUGGGCGAAAGCCUGACGGAGCGACGCCGCGUGCAGGAUGAAGGCCUUCGGGUCGUAAACUGCUUUUAUACAAGAAGAUUAUGACGGUAUUGUAUGAAUAAGGGUUUGCAAACUCCGUGCCAGCAGCCGCGGUCAUACGGAGGACCCAAGCGUUACCCGGAAUUACUGGGCGUAAAGAGUUGCGUAGGCGGUUUGUUAAGUGAGGUGCGAAAUCUAAUGGCUCAACUGUUAGCUGGCAAGCUCAAACUGGCAAACUCGAGGAUGGUAGAGGUGAGUGGAAUUCCCGGAGUAGGGGUGAAAUCCGUAGAUACCGGGAGGAACACCAAUGGCGAAGGCAGCUCACUGGACCAUUCCUGACGCUGAGGCACGAAAGCGUGGGUAGCGAACCGG